AUGGCAACAGCAAUCGGUCCAUGCUCUGAUGCAGAGGACCUGUUGGCUUCCAUCCACCUCGAGAGGUAUCUGGACCACUUCCGUCAGGCAGGCUUUCUCCUCGCCCGAGACUUCUGUCAUGUGGACAGUGUGGCUCUGAACAGGGUGGGAGUCACUGCCACCGGCCACAGGAAGCGUAUCCUCAAACUAGUCGAGCACAUUCAGCUGAUCUGUCAACAGCCCUCGCUAGAUCGCUGCAAUUCAGACUCUGCUAUUCAUGAGGUGACCCCUCGCUCGUUCUCAGACCGUAGCACCAGUGUUGUAAAGCCGGUACCAAAACCAAGAACUGUCUUUCACAGACUGAGAGCAGAGAAAAUUUCUUUACCAACGCAACAUGAAGCGCAACCUCGCCAAAAGUCAUCUCAGGACUCACUUUUAAAAGUUGCACAAGGUUCAUCCUCCAGUACAGACACUGUCGAAUCAUCUACUGAAUCAAAAAAGGGCCAUUGUGAACCAGGUUUGAGUAAAAGUGAUCCUAAUAUUACUGUACAGUUUAUAUUUUUAACUUCCUCCUCCCACAGGCAGCACAAUCACUCUUCGCUCAAGCGUCUUGAUUCUCCAGGUUACUGCACUGUGGGUGAACCGUCCCCGGCCCGUCACUCAUUCUCCCUCCCUCACAACUUUGUCUCCAAUGAAACGGAUGAGGACAUCAUCUCUCCCUACGCCAGCUUCACCUCGCUGUCCGAGCGGGUGGCACCCAUCCUCAGCGGCUGGCUGGACAAGCUCUCUCCUCAAGGAAACUAUGUGUUCCAGAAGCGAUAUGUGAAGUUUGAUGGGAAGAACUUGAUGUACUAUGGUAGUGAAAAGGAUGCUUAUCCCAAAGGUGUGAUUCCCUUAGCUGCCAUACAAAUGGCCCGCGUAGCCAAAGACAAUAAAUUUGAGGUUGUCACAAGUCACAGGACAUUUGUCUUCAGAGCUGAUAAUGAUGUUCAGAGGAGCACAUGGUGCGGCACGUUGCAGGAGCGGGUCAAAGAACAGCUGGUUUUCGGCCGCUUACGUUUUGGCCCUGGCAGUCACUGCCAAAAGAACGGCUUCCUGGAGCUCAAAGGAACCAAGUCAAAGAUCUACACAGCCAUUAUAAUGGAGCAGAUCUGGUUGUACAAGAAUGAGCAGUGCUUUAAAAAUGGAAUUGGAAUUACUGUAAUUGAGGCCAGAGGAGCUACAAUUCGUGAUGGGAAGGGCAAGAGCUUUGAUCUCAUUACACCUUAUAAAACCUUCAGCUUUACGGCAGAGUCGGAGCGAGAGAAGAGGGACUGGAUAGAGGCCCUGCAGGAGUCUAUAGCGGAAACACUGUCUGAUUAUGAGGUGGCAGAGAAGAUCUGGUCCAACAGGUCCAACAAGAUCUGCGCAGACUGCAAAGCCAUCAAUCCAGACUGGGCAUCCAUCAAUCUCUGUGUGGUCAUCUGCAAGAACUGUGCAGGCCAGCAUCGAGGUCUCGGCACAAUGGUGUCGAAAGUGCAGAGUCUGAAACUAGACACCAGCGUGUGGAGCAAUGAGAUCGUCCAGCUCUUCAUAAUGCUUGGCAAUGAUAGAGCCAAUGAAUUUUGGGCGGCCAGACUUCCUGUGACUGAGGAGCUGGACUGUGACGCCUCCCCAGAGCAGCGGAAAGAGUUUAUCACCCACAAAUACAGAGAAGGCAGAUAUCGGCACCCUCAACCCAGUUUUAGCACUCAAGAGGACCUUCUUAAGGUAAUGGAUAAGCCAUUUACAUCCACAGGGGACAGAUCAUUAUCUUACUGUCAUUUUCUGGAUUCAGAUUCCUGUGUCUAUGAUGAGAUCAUGCAGUCCAUCCUGUACUCCGGCUACAUCUACAAGUCAAGCUCCUUGAACAAAGGGACAUUAUCUCGCAGAACCAGAGACGGUAGGCGACUAUGUUCUAUUCUCUUCUAUGAGUCUGACAGAUGUCAUGAGCCCAGUAUGAAGAUCGAUGUGAAAGACAUCAUCUGUUUAGGGGUUAGCCGGCCAGACUCCAGCAACAGCAGCGGCUUUAUUGACAAAUUUCGAUACACAUUUGAACUUUACCUAACAUCUGAUAAACUGAUCCAGUUUGGCUUUGAGACUCCAGAUGCGUUACACAGUUGGGCGAGAGCGAUAGGGAAGGCCACCACACCUCUCAGCUGUCACUGCCUGCUGGCGCGAGAGUUCGAGCGAGUGGGCGUCCUGCGCUACAAGGCCAUGCUAGACCCACAGCAGUGGAAAGAAGGCUUCUUUGUUCUGCAGAAGUCCAACCUGUUCAUAUGCCCUGGAAAUGAUGGAGCCGCAGAGGAUAUUAUAAACCUGAAACGCCUACAGGAGCUCAGUGAGUCUGUUAGCUCAAUCACUAAGAAGGACAUCCUGGUUCUUGUUGAGAAAGGAAGGACUCUGCAUCUGCAGGGCACGGGCAGGACUGACUUCUCCCUGUGGUACGCAGACAUUCAGAAGGCAGCAGGAGGGAAAGGGAACACCCUGAAAGACCAGCAGCUCAGCAGAAAUGACAUCCCCAUCAUCGUUGACAGCUGCAUUGCCUUUAUAACUCAGUAUGGUCUAGGCCAUGAGGGGAUAUACAGGAAAAAUGGUGCGAAGUCCAGAAUCAAGCUUUUGAUGGAGGAGUUUCGUAAGGACGCCCGCAAUGUGAAACUCCGCAUUGGAGAUAACUUCAUAGAGGACGUGACGGAUGUACUGAAAAGGUUCUUUCGGGAGAUUGAUGAUCCUAUAUUCAUGGCUGAUCUCCACCCCUUCUGGAGGGAAGCUGCCAAGAUACCUCAAAAGCCACAGCGUUUGGACCGAUACAAAGAGCUGAUUCGAGGGUUACCUCGGGUCAACAGAACGACUUUAGCAGCUCUCAUCAGUCAUCUCUACAGGGUGCAGAAGUGUGCUGAUCUCAAUCAGAUGUGCACUAAGAACCUGUCCCUGCUGUUCGCUCCCAGCCUGUUUCAGACUGAUGGGAAAGGGGAACAUGAGGUCAAAAUCAUAGAAGACCUCAUCGAUAACUACCUGUACAUAUUUGAUGUAAUGCAAACCUCUGGUGUGGCUCUCCCACAGGUGUCUCCCACAAUGUGUGCUGAGGAGCUGACCAAUCAGGUGCUGUAUAUGAGAAAUAUUCCUGCGGGGGAAAAAGACGUGUGGAUGACCUUUGAGGCCAUUGAGGAAGGAGAGCUUGAGCGACCUCUUCACCCCAAAGAGAUGGUUCUGGAACAAGCUCUACAGUGGUGUAAGAUGGCUGAUCCCAGCUCAGCGUAUCUGGUGGUGAAGAAGGUGCCUAGAGGAGAAGCUAUUGACAUUUUCACAGGUGAAUUGCUGAAGUGUCGGGAAGAGCCGCCCAAGCUCUUGCAAGGAAACAAAUUCCAGGAGCACUCAUUUCAAAUUAAAGACCACAGACUGCUCCUGAUGAAGGACAAAAAAAGCAACAAACCUGAGAAAGAGUGGCAACUGAAAACCUUGAAGAUUUACAUGGGGAUCAGAAAGAAGUUAAAACCACCAACAAAAUGGGGAUUAACAGUGAUGCUGGAUAAACAGCAAUUGUACCUCAGCUGUUCCUGUGAGACUGAAUUAUGGGAUUGGAUGACUAAUUUACUAAAAGCACAGAAUGAUGAUUUGCGUCCACCUGUGAUGAGACGGCACUCUUCCUCUGACAUUUCCAAGCAGAAGUUUGGCACCAUGCCUCUAGUGCCCAUCAGAGGAGAGGAGAGCAAUACCAACACCACCAUGCUCUCCGCCAAUCAGACUCUGAGAAAGCUCCACACGAGAAGGGCUCUCUCAAUGUUCUUUGUAAUGCUUAAAAAUUUAGGAGUACGCUUUACAAAAGAGCCUAUACUUAAUGGAGGAAUUCCCUUUGACUUCCUCGGUCCUUCCCCCCAUUCCUGUUGGGAACCAGGGCUUCCUGAUAUGACAGGAUGCAUUUGGAGGAAGAAAGCUUCUACUGCAUUGUUCUGCAACUGUAGCCUUGAGGGAGGGCAGGGCAGGGAGCUCGCUUCACCUCUUGUGUUUUGGGAAAAUGCCGCAGCUUCUGGUGUGUCCCAACCCAAAAGCUUGCACAAGCAAAUUGUCUGCGGGCUUCAUGCUUUUGUCCUCAAUGUAUUUGGCAAUUAUCUUGAUGGUGUCUCUCUGAUACUGAGACAAAAGUUUCAACUCAGAAAAGGAAGUAAUUUGUUUUGA
ensembl:lncRNA